GGCAAGAUGGCCGAGUUGGUUAUGGCGCUGCGUUCAGGUUCACUAGAAUCUAAUCUCGCAGUGGAGCAAUCCUCGUGGGUUCAAAUCCCACUCUUGUCA